GGCUCACACGCGGGACCCGAGCUCUGGAGGAGUAAAUCAUCCCCACUUUAAAACCACCCUCUGCCAGGGCUCCACUUGGGAACUCCUUGCAUUGCUCUGAACACAUCGUUUGGCAGCGUUUGACGAGGGAGCUAUUAACCUUUGAAGCAAGGGCUUUAGGUUCAAACUACCUCCUUCGCAACCCGCUGUAUGCCUCUCUCUCCCCACAUAGAGGCACGAUGCAAGGAUGGAUUUGGCUGCAUGGGAUCGAUGAGAUUGGGACAAUAGCUGGAGUGGAUUAUUCAUUCCCAUAGGGCAAUACUUCCCUGUAUGGGCUUCAGGAUGCAGUUGGAAGCUUGGGAACAAAGCGGGCAUCGAAUGUCAAGGAUCCUUUUGAGGAAGAAAUAGUUCUGCUAGGACCCCAUGCUUGGACUUUGGAGGGCAUGGCGCAGUGGUCUGAUAUGAAAGCACUGUCCCUGCAGAUGAAAACUCUCCUCUGUAUCCUGCGCCUUGCAAGAGAAGCAGCGAAGGGACACUUGAAGUAACCAAGCAUCUGGCAUCAAGCCUGACAAUCCACUUCACACUAUGUGAAGGAAAGUUUGUUCCAAACCACAUACUUUGUGGUGCUCAAUACUAGUGUCAAACUGGUUUGAACUGUCCCAGGUCUAAAAUAAAGAUCUCCAUUGUGGUA